UACGAAGGGGGCUAGCGUUGUUCGGAAUUACUGGGCGUAAAGCGCACGUAGGCGGAUCGGUCAGUUAGGGGUGAAAUCCCAGAGCUCAACUCUGGAACUGCCUUUAAUACUGCCGAUCUGGAGUCCGGAAGAGGUGAGUGGAAUUCUGAGUGUAGAGGUGAAAUUCGUAGAUAUUCGGAGGAACACCAGUGGCGAAGGCGGCUCACUGGUCCGGUACUGACGCUGAGGUGCGAAAGCGUGGGGAGCAAACAGG
rnacentral:rRNA from 1 species